CACCAGGGAUCCAACGGAGCUGCUGAAGAGGCAGCGAUGUCGUAGGCCCCUGAGACGAGGAUGAGACCAUCGCAGUCCUGGGCGCCCCUCGUGGGCACAGAUGUCGGUGUUAGGGCCCCCGCGGGUCGCCUCCGCAGGAGUGACCCGUCACGUUUGUUGUGAACGAAUGAAAAGCUGGGAAGUAUGGAGUAGGUCCUAGUAAAGAAAAGCUAUAGGGAAUGUGGAGGUAGGCUUUAAUGAGUGUUUCCUCAAAGCUCUGGUAGAAAUAGACGCCUGGUGGCUGGCGUUGAACAGGCUGGGGGCCUCCAAGGAGCCCUCAGGGAGGCAGUUACAUCCAACACCCUAACAAAGGAGAGGAAAAGAAAAACCCCCUCAAAAUGUCCCUCGGGUUUGACAAAGGGAUCCCGGACAAAAUGUGACUGUUAAUUACGACAGAACUGAAAAGCAGAAGUAAAGUAAAUCCCCCCAGGACGCCUGGGAACUGGGUGAACCCUCUUCCCUGGAAGCCAAGGAACCAACUGUUUGCAGAGGAUCAGAAGGGAUCAGCUCAGAAGCCCGGACCUGGCCUGGCACAUAGAAGCCACCGAAGGGGUCCUGUGCCAAGGACAAACAGGAACGCCCACCCAGUGGGCGGGCCGUCCGUGGUCCAGAACUGGCAGGCCACUGACAAAUAUCCUCUGAGUAAAACUAAGGAAGGACGUCAGCUAUCAUCAGGGGGACUUGUGUGCCCCAGAGCCUACAGGGUGCUCAGGGACUGCAAGAAGAUCUUCCUUCCAGAAACAUUCAGUGGCACCUCCCUUUCUCCGACACUCUGCCGCGCCAUGGAAUUGCAGAGAAGAAUGGGAGGGGAGCCUUGCCCUGAAGAACUCACAGUGAAGAUUAGAGCCAUCACCCAAAUUACAUGGACUUCAAAGAAAGCAGACCUGGAUGCAAAAUUCCACUUCUCUUACUUCCCAGUCACAUGACCACAGGCAAGUCCUUUAACCCCCUAUGAUCUCAAUUUCUUCACCUGGAUAUAUGUGUCUCACUGAGAUAUAAGGCCCUGGGCACGCCUGUGACAUCUCCCUUCUCUGCUUG
rnacentral:lncRNA from 1 species